GAUGAACGCUGACAGAAUGCUUAACACAUGCAAGUCAUUGGCGAAGCUGCGCUUGCGCAGUCUAGCCAAGGCGGACGGGUGAGUAACGCGUAAGGAACUUGCCCUGCAGACAGGGAUAACAGACGGAAACGACUGAUAACACCUGGUAUUGUCAGGCUGGCGCAUGCCGGCCUGAUGAAAGGAGACGCUGCAGGAGAGCCUUGCGUCCUAUUAGCUAGUUCGUGGGGUAACGGCCCACCAAGGCGAUGAUAGGUAGCCGGCCUGAGAGGGUGAACGGCCACAAGGGGACUGAGAUACGGCCCUUACUCCGACGGGGGGCAGCAGUGGGGAAUAUUGGACAAUGGGGGCAACCCUGAUCCAGCAAUUCUGUGUGCACGAAGAAGGUUUUCGGAUUGUAAAGUGCUUUCAGAAGGGAAGAAGAAAGUGACGGUACCUGCAGAAGAAGCGACGGCUAAAUACGUG
rnacentral:rRNA from 1 species